UUAAGCGACUAAGCGUACACGGUGGAUGCCCUGGCAGUCAGAGGCGAUGAAGGACGUGCUAAUCUGCGAUAAGCGUCGGUGAGGUGAUAUGAACCGUUAUAACCGGCGAUUUCCGAAUGGGGAAACCCAGUGUGUUUCGACACACUAUCAUUAACUGAAUCCAUAGGUUAAUGAGGCGAACCGGGGGAACUGAAACAUCUAAGUACCCCGAGGAAAAGAAAUCAACCGAGAUUCCCCCAGUAGCGGCGAGCGAACGGGGAGGAGCCCAGAGCCUGAAUCAAUGUGUGUGUUAGUGGAAGCGUCUGGAAAGGCGCGCGAUACAGGGUGACAGCCCCGUACACAAAAAUGCACAUAUUGUGAGCUCGAUGAGUAGGGCGGGACACGUGGUAUCCUGUCUGAAUAUGGGGGGACCAUCCUCCAAGGCUAAAUACUCCUGACUGACCGAUAGUGAACCAGUACCGUGAGGGAAAGGCGAAAAGAACCCCGGCGAGGGGAGUGAAAAAGAACCUGAAACCGUGUACGUACAAGCAGUGGGAGCCUCUUAAUGGGGUGACUGCGUACCUUUUGUAUAAUGGGUCAGCGACUUAUAUUCUGUAGCAAGGUUAACCGAAUAGGGGAGCCGAAGGGAAACCGAGUCUUAACUGGGCGUUAAGUUGCAGGGUAUAGACCCGAAACCCGGUGAUCUAGCCAUGGGCAGGUUGAAGGUUGGGUAACACUAACUGGAGGACCGAACCGACUAAUGUUGAAAAAUUAGCGGAUGACUUGUGGCUGGGGGUGAAAGGCCAAUCAAACCGGGAGAUAGCUGGUUCUCCCCGAAAGCUAUUUAGGUAGCGCCUCGUGAAUUCAUCUCCGGGGGUAGAGCACUGUUUCGGCAAGGGGGUCAUCCCGACUUACCAACCCGAUGCAAACUGCGAAUACCGGAGAAUGUUAUCACGGGAGACACACGGCGGGUGCUAACGUCCGUCGUGAAGAGGGAAACAACCCAGACCGCCAGCUAAGGUCCCAAAGUCAUGGUUAAGUGGGAAACGAUGUGGGAAGGCCCAGACAGCCAGGAUGUUGGCUUAGAAGCAGCCAUCAUUUAAAGAAAGCGUAAUAGCUCACUGGUCGAGUCGGCCUGCGCGGAAGAUGUAACGGGGCUAAACCAUGCACCGAAGCUGCGGCAGCGACACUAUGUGUUGUUGGGUAGGGGAGCGUUCUGUAAGCCUGUGAAGGUGGCCUGUGAGGGUUGCUGGAGGUAUCAGAAGUGCGAAUGCUGACAUAAGUAACGAUAAAGCGGGUGAAAAGCCCGCUCGCCGGAAGACCAAGGGUUCCUGUCCAACGUUAAUCGGGGCAGGGUGAGUCGACCCCUAAGGCGAGGCCGAAAGGCGUAGUCGAUGGGAAACAGGUUAAUAUUCCUGUACUUGGUGUUACUGCGAAGGGGGGACGGAGAAGGCUAUGUUGGCCGGGCGACGGUUGUCCCGGUUUAAGCGUGUAGGCUGGUUUUCCAGGCAAAUCCGGAAAACCAAGGCUGAGGCGUGAUGACGAGGCACUACGGUGCUGAAGCGACAAAUGCCCUGCUUCCAGGAAAAGCCUCUAAGCAUCAGGUAACAUCAAAUCGUACCCCAAACCGACACAGGUGGUCAGGUAGAGAAUACCAAGGCGCUUGAGAGAACUCGGGUGAAGGAACUAGGCAAAAUGGUGCCGUAACUUCGGGAGAAGGCACGCUGAUAUGUAGGUGAAGCGACUUGCUCGUGGAGCUGAAAUCAGUCGAAGAUACCAGCUGGCUGCAACUGUUUAUUAAAAACACAGCACUGUGCAAACACGAAAGUGGACGUAUACGGUGUGACGCCUGCCCGGUGCCGGAAGGUUAAUUGAUGGGGUUAGCGGCAACGCGAAGCUCUUGAUCGAAGCCCCGGUAAACGGCGGCCGUAACUAUAACGGUCCUAAGGUAGCGAAAUUCCUUGUCGGGUAAGUUCCGACCUGCACGAAUGGCGUAAUGAUGGCCAGGCUGUCUCCACCCGAGACUCAGUGAAAUUGAACUCGCUGUGAAGAUGCAGUGUACCCGCGGCAAGACGGAAAGACCCCGUGAACCUUUACUAUAGCUUGAUACUGAACAUUGAGCCUUGAUGUGUAGGAUAGGUGGGAGGCUUUGAAGUGUGGACGCCAGUCUGCAUGGAGCCGGCCUUGAAAUACCACCCUUUAAUGUUUGAUGUUCUAACGUGGGCCCCUUACCGGGGUUGCGGACAGUGUCUGGUGGGUAGUUUGACUGGGGCGGUCUCCUCCUAAAGAGUAACGGAGGAGCACGAAGGUUGGCUAAUCCUGGUCGGACAUCAGGAGGUUAGUGCAAUGGCAUAAGCCAGCUUGACUGCGAGCGUGACGGCGCGAGCAGGUGCGAAAGCAGGUCAUAGUGAUCCGGUGGUUCUGAAUGGAAGGGCCAUCGCUCAACGGAUAAAAGGUACUCCGGGGAUAACAGGCUGAUACCGCCCAAGAGUUCAUAUCGACGGCGGUGUUUGGCACCUCGAUGUCGGCUCAUCACAUCCUGGGGCUGAAGUAGGUCCCAAGGGUAUGGCUGUUCGCCAUUUAAAGUGGUACGCGAGCUGGGUUUAGAACGUCGUGAGACAGUUCGGUCCCUAUCUGCCGUGGGCGCUGGAGAACUGAGGGGGGCUGCUCCUAGUACGAGAGGACCGGAGUGGACGCAUCACUGGUGUUCGGGUUGUCAUGCCAAUGGCACUGCCCGGUAGCUAAAUGCGGAAGAGAUAAGUGCUGAAAGCAUCUAAGCACGAAACUUGCCCCGAGAUGAGUUCUCCCUGACCCUUUAAGGGUCCUGAAGGAACGUUGAAGACGACGACGUUGAUAGGCCGGGUGUGUAAGCGCAGCGAUGCGUUGAGCUAACCGGUACUAAUGAACCGUGAGGCUUAACCUU
rnacentral:rRNA from 1 species